GACGAACGCUGGCGGCGUGCUUAACACAUGCAAGUCGAACGGAAAGGCCCUGCUUUUGUGGGGUGCUCGAGUGGCGAACGGGUGAGUAACACGUGAGUAACCUGCCCUUGACUUUGGGAUAACUUCAGGAAACUGGGGCUAAUACCGGAUAGGAGCUCCUGCUGCAUGGUGGGGGUUGGAAAGUUUCGGCGGUUGGGGAUGGACUCGCGGCUUAUCAGCUUGUUGGUGGGGUAGUGGCUUACCAAGGCUUUGACGGGUAGCCGGCCUGAGGGGGUGACCGGCCACAUUGGGACUGAGAUACGGCCCAGACUCCUACGGGAGGCAGCAGUGGGGGAUAUUGCACAAUGGGCGGAAGCCUGAUGCAGCAACGCCGCGUGCGGGAUGACGGCCUUCGGGUUGUAAACCGCUUUCGCCUGUGACGAAGCGUGAGUGACGGUAAUGGGUAAAGAAGCACCGGCUAACUACGUG
rnacentral:rRNA from 1 species